UACGGGGGGGGCAAGCGUUGUUCGGAAUUACUGGGCGUAAAGGGCUUGUAGGCGGCCAACUAAGUCCGACGUGAAAUCCCCAGGCUUAACCUGGGAACUGCGUCGGAUACUGGAUGGCUUGAAUUCGGGAGAGGGAUGCAGAAUUCCAGGUGUAGCGGUGAAAUGCGUAGAUAUCUGGAGGAACACCGGUGGCGAAGGCGGCAUCCUGGACCGGCAUUGACGCUGAGGCGCGAAAGCGUGGGGAGCAAACAGG
rnacentral:rRNA from 1 species